AUUGAACGCUGGCGGCAGGCCUAACACAUGCAAGUCGAGCGGAUGAAGGGAGCUUGCUCCUGGAUUCAGCGGCGGACGGGUGAGUAAUGCCUAGGAAUCUGCCUGGUAGUGGGGGAUAACGUCCGGAAACGGGCGCUAAUACCGCAUACGUCCUGAGGGAGAAAGUGGGGGAUCUUCGGACCUCACGCUAUCAGAUGAGCCUAGGUCGGAUUAGCUAGUUGGUGGGGUAAAGGCCUACCAAGGCGACGAUCCGUAACUGGUCUGAGAGGAUGAUCAGUCACACUGGAACUGAGACACGGUCCAGACUCCGACGGGAGGCAGCAGUGGGGAAUAUUGGAAAAUGGGCGAAAGCCUGAUCCAGCCAUGCCGCGUGUGUGAAGAAGGUCUUCGGAUUGUAAAGCACUUUAAGUUGGGAGGAAGGGCAGUAAGUUAAUACCUUGCUGUUUUGACGUUACCAACAGAAUAAGCACCGGCUAACUUCGU
rnacentral:rRNA from 1 species